rnacentral:rRNA from 1 species
CCUACGGGAGGCAGCAGUGAGGAAUAUUGGUCAAUGGACGAGAGUCUGAACCAGCCAAGUAGCGUGAAGGAUGACUGCCCUAUGGGUUGUAAACUUCUUUUAUAUGGGAAUAAAAUGUUCCACGUGUGGGAUUUUGUAUGUACCAUAUGAAUAAGUAUCGGCUAACUCCGUGCCAGCAGCCGCGGUAAUACGGAGGAUCCGAGCGUUAUCCGGAUUUAGUGGGUUUAAAGGGGGCGUAGGUGGAUUGUUAAUUAAGAUGGGAACGUUUGCGGCUCAACCGUAAAAUUGCAGUUGAAACUGGCAGUCUUGAGUACAGUAGAGGUGGGCGGAAUUCGUGGUGUAGCGGUGAAAUGCUUAGAUAGCACGAAGAACUCCGAUUGCGAAGGCAGCUCACUGGACUGCAACUGACACUGAGGCUCGAAAGUGUGGGUAUCAAACAGGAUUAGAUACCCGAGUAGUC